rnacentral:tRNA from 2 species
GCUCCCUUCGUCUAGUGGCCUAGGACGCCGCCCUCUCACGGCGUAAACAGGGGUUCGAGUCCCCUAGGGAGCGCCA